AACAGGGCCAAGGUUAGCAGGAGAGGCAAGGACAGAAGUGAGAGAUAACAUAGUAUUAUGAAAAUAGGGAGCCACAAGACAAGACCUGCAGUCAGCUUGUAGAAGCUGAAAAAAGUCAAGAAAGGGAAUGGUCCCAGAAUGUCCUGAGGGAAACAGCUUUGCUGAUACAUUGACCUCAUCACAGUGAGCCUGGAGUUGGAUGCCAGAUCUACAGGACUAAGAAGACAUUUUCAAAGACACAGAUAUCAGUGUGUUGUUUUGCUGAGAGAAGAUAAAGGGGGCUGAGGCAGGGGAGGAAUAAAAGGCAAGCGGGUCCUGGCCCUUGCACUGCAGUUGAGGGAAUCUGAGGGCAGCAUGCAGGCACCAGCACCGAGGGAAGCUUUGGGCCUAGGCCGCAGUGAUUUUGAACUGGAAAUGGCUACAGCACAGCCUGUGUAGACGAGACAGCUUACUGAAAAGCUGAAUGAAAAUUGUGAACAAGCCGAUCUGUUUGUGAUCUUUCAACAUGGCUGCACAGCAACUCUGCAAAUGCUAGAAGAAAAAAACAAAAAGUAAAAGAACUGUAUGUUUGUCAUCAAUUUAAUGUAAAAAUUUAAAACAUAUUUCAGAAUCUUCCCAAGAAGUGCUAAUGUCACCAUGUCAAAUUGUAGUUAUUUAACCUAAAGGAUUUUUUAUUAUUAUAAAAAAUUAGACAUCCAGAUGAAGGUAGAAUGAAUAUUAUAAAUUUAACAGAUCAUAUUGCAUGAAUGAAAUGCACUCUAAUUUGUGAAGUGCUGUUAUACCUAUUAUAUCACUCAAUCCUGGUAGUAAUCCUAAUGAAAUAUGAGUUCAAACAGGUGUUGAUAUCUCAUAAAUGCUGCAGUAAUGAAGACAGAGGCUCAGAUGGGUUAAAUUAUUACGGAGUCACCCGAGCCCCUGGACCUAUGUAAUAACCCAGUGCCGUUUCCCUUCAGUAUUUACAAGAACUCCUACCUUUCCAAAUGCACAUCAUUUAGCUCUAGUACAGGCACCACGAGCAGAGGGUAUAAUUUCCAUUUCUGUCUUCUGCAGUCAAGCAGAAGUUCCUCUCCUUUGUGUACCGAUAGGAGUGCCGUGGAUCACUGGGCCUUGGAGAAGGGAGGCCUUAAGUGUGCUCCAUUUGCACGAUUGUCCUGCAGCACUUGUGGAUGACUGCACAGCCUUCUAAAGUAUGGGAAGCUAAGACCUCUGGCCAGGGAACUGUCUGAAAAUCUCCUUCAAAAACAAUGCUUGAGGGCCGGGGAUUUAGCUCAGUGGCACAGAGCCUGCCUCACAAGUGCAAGGUCCUAAGUUUGAUCUACAGUACAAAAAAAAAAAAAAAAAAAAAAAGUGCCUGAUCUGGAAGACACAGUCCUCCUGGGUAGGGAUUUGGCAUUGGAUGGUUGUUGGGCAAGACAGUCAGGACCAUGGUCAGCGUAUUGGACCCCAAAGAGAUAGGGCUAGUGUUCAAGGUGAGAAAGUCUUCACGCUUGAAAGAAAGACAGCCAUUUUCACAUUUGGGAUAAUAAAAGAAAUAAGUAGAAUUUUAAAGGUUAUGUAAGUGAAAAAGUUAACGUAUUAAAAUAGUAUAAGGAAUAAAGAACUAAAAAAAUUAAAACCAAAAAUAGCUGAAAUACAAAUGAUAUAAAGAAUAUUCAUAUUCACAUAAACCAAAUGUUGUUAUUGAUUUGGAUAUUUUCUUUUUUGGUACUGGGGAUCGAGCUCGAGUCCUUGCACUUGCGCAGCAGGCGGUGAAACCACUGAGCUAAAUCCCCAGCCUCGAUAUUUUCAUUUUUUGAAAAGCUAAUUUCUGUUGUUUCACAUUAGCAAAUAAAAGCUGCCAGGUAAUCGACCUCCUCAAUAUUAAGGUUGGUAU
rnacentral:lncRNA from 1 species